AACGAACGCUGGCGGCAUGCCUAACACAUGCAAGUCGAACGAGACCUUCGGGUCUAGUGGCGCACGGGUGCGUACCGCGUGGGAACCUGCCCUUAGGUUCGGAAUAACUCCCCGAAAGGGGUGCUCAUACCGGAUAAUGUCUUCGGACCAAAGAUUUAUCGCUUUUGGAUGGGCCCGCGUUGGAUUCGCUAGUUGGUAGGGUAAAAGCCUACCAAGGCGACGAUCCAUAGCUGGUCUGAGAGGAUGAUCAGCCACACUGGGACUGAGACACGGCCCAGACUGCGACGGGAGGGAGCAGUGGGGAAUAUUGGACGAUGGGCGAAAGCCUGAUCCAGCAAUGCCGCGGGAGUGAGGAAGGCCGUAGUGUUGUAAAGCUCUUUUAGCCGGGAUGAUAAUGACAGUACCGGGAGAAUAAGCUCCGGCUAACUCCGUG
rnacentral:rRNA from 1 species